rnacentral:lncRNA from 1 species
GGUAAGCUCUACGCUCUGUUUGGGCUUGUUUGGCUGCAUCUCUUAGGCAGGUGCUUAAGCAUGAUAGAGAAAGGCGCACCACAACAGGACCGGAUAGACAGGACACGGAGGUCGUGAAGAGAAGAGGGGCAGGGGGCGCGCACAGCAUUGGUCCCAAGAUUGGGCUGAGGGAUCGUCGCAAGAUUGCGGUGGUGCUGCUGGCACCGAACGUAACGUCUUGAUGACGGCUUGCAAGCAGGCCGGGGGCCCCUAGGGGGAAAGGGACAGACAGCGGCGGCCGGGUGCUUCUAGGGCUUCGAUGGGGGCUACCGGUGUGCCAUUGCCUACCACUGCCUUCGGAAUGCCCCGAUGCAUGGAAUGCAAUGCCUUGCCUCACCAAGCGAGAAUUCACUUUACUUGGGCGAACCAAAGAUGAGAGGUAUAAGUAAUCUACGGUUUGAAGGAUACAGCUCCGGAGAAGCUACUCCACGCUCUUCAGGCCGACCUCACAUAGGGGUCUGCAUAGCACACGCCGAGGUAGAUUUCAACUACAAAGUUUGAGAGCGCCAUUUGAAGCUUUAUGAGGCAUGUUCAAGGCCUGCUAUUGUCAUCCGCAUACCGAAGGCCGAACAUCAUGCACAAAUCCGUAAGGUCCGUAAUCCCUUAUCCUACCUAUCUGUAAUCCCUUAUCCUAUUUAUAUGCCUGG